GUGGAGCUUGUCAAAAGUACUGCUUCUCCUGCUGGUCAGGCUAUCAGCUGGGCAAAAGAGGGUCAAAGCUGAAGCAAGUUGUUGACAAGUUGUAUGGAGAUGAAGAACCAAGAUCUGGUUGGACUGCGGCUUCUUCUACUUCGCAGAAAGGGAAGGAGCUGGACACCGUUACUAUCGACGGCCAAGCAACAAGAGAGAAACUGAAGCAAGAGGUGAUCGAAGCCGUGCUGGACAAUAGGUAUGUUGUUGUUGGGUUGCACGGCAUGGGGGGUGUGGGCAAAACAACACUCCUACAACACGUCAAUGAGCACUUUCGAAUAACCGAUCACUUUCAAUCUGUGAUUUUCAUCACCUUGUCAGCCACACCAAAUUUUGUAGAAAUACGAAAACAAAUUGCCAAAGGUUUAGGCUUGGAUUUGAACAAAUGCGAAGGUGACAACGACUUGAAAGAAAAAUUGUCUCGUCUUUCAAGAACAACCAAGUAUAUGUUGAUUUUAGAUGACAUGUGGGAGCCUGUUAUUGAUCUUGCUGAAAUUUGCAUUGAUGCACCAAAGAAGGGGAAUGGCUGCAAAAUAUUAAUUGCUUCUAGAUCAUUAUCAGUGGUUACAAGGUUUGUCACUCGCUUUGAAGCAAAACAUUCUCUUCAGAUCGAUUCCAGUGAACAAAUUGCCAUCGGAUGAAGCCUGGACUCUUUUUGUUGAAAAAGUUGGUGUAGAUAUUACAUCUAAACCAGAAAUAGAACCCCUAGCUAAAGAGGUUCUUAGAAGGUGUGAUGGAUUGCCGCUGGCCAUUGUUGUUAUUGGUCGUACAAUGUCAACAGGACAAACAGAGGGAGAAUGGAAACACGCUAUUCACGAAUUGGAGCAAGCUUCAAAUCUUGAAAGUGUAGUAAAAGAAGAGGUAUUUUCAAAACUCAUUUUUAGUUUUGAAAAAUUGGAACCUAUCCAACAAUCCCUCUUCCUGUUCUGCUGUCUAUUUCCUGAGGAUUGGAUCUAUAACAAAGAGAAAUUAGC